rnacentral:rRNA from 1 species
AACGAACGCUGGCGGCGUGCCUAAUACAUGCAAGUAGAACGCUGAAGAGAGGAGCUUGCUCUUCUUGGAUGAGUUGCGAACGGGUGAGUAACGCGUAGGUAACCUGCCUUGUAGCGGGGGAUAACUAUUGGAAACGAUAGCUAAUACCGCAUAACAAUGGAUGACACAUGUCAUUUAUUUGAAAGGGGCAAUUGCUCCACUACAAGAUGGACCUGCGUUGUAUUAGCUAGUAGGUGAGGUAAUGGCUCACCUAGGCGACGAUACAUAGCCGACCUGAGAGGGUGAUCGGCCACACUGGGACUGAGACACGGCCCAGACUCCUACGGGAGGCAGCAGUAGGGAAUCUUCGGCAAUGGGGGCAACCCUGACCGAGCAACGCCGCGUGAGUGAAGAAGGUUUUCGGAUCGUAAAGCUCUGUUGUAAGUCAAGAACGGGUGUGAGAGUGGAAAGUUCACACUGUGACGGUAGCUUACCAGAAAGGGACGGCUAACUACGUG